ensembl:processed_transcript
UGUACUCCUCCUCCUGUCUGCACCAUCUUCCUGUUCCAUUCCUACCACAGAAGUAAUUGCAACAAUUAACAGCCAUUUGCUAUUACUAUUGGCCAUGUACCUUGAUCUUUGAUCACUGAAUAAGCAAGCAAUUUUGAAGCUCCAGGUAAAGACUGAAAUUGAAAGGUCUCACAUAUCUUGGGCUUGGUGAUGAACUAUUCAAGUACCUCCGAAUGGCAGUGUCUCCACAAGGGAAACUAGAAGAUAAAGCCUUUCUCAGCAGUUAUCUCUGGGGCCAGCUUUACCCACCAAAGGACUCCAGGGCUGUUGGGUAAAUGGCUGCCAUAAAGGAUCACACUUCACCAUGUCGCUUGGAUUGAGGCUGCUGUGGAUAAAAAUUCCUGGAAAAAAAGCUGUGUGAAAAAAAGCAGACCGACAGACUUAAGCUUCAAGGACUGGGGAGAGUUCAGAAUAUUACAGGGUCAUUUCCUAAUGAAAACUCUUCUAGUGCUAUCUUUAGCCCCUAAAGAGACAUUCUUGUCCACCUCUCUUUUGUAUUUAGCAUCCAUACAAACAGACAAAAACUCUUUGGAAUGUAUUAACAACACCCCCUUCUCAGCCUGCCAAGGUGCUAAGAAGAAUGCUGUCACAUAGAAUCUGAGGUUGGGGCUGGAGUUCCUCUACUUUUAAGACUCCUCGCUGAGGUUUCCACCAAUAUAUAUUAAACAUCCAUUCAUGC